rnacentral:rRNA from 1 species
AUACGGAGGGUGCAAGCGUUAUCCGGAUUUAUUGGGUUUAAAGGGUGCGCAGGCGGACCUGUCAGUCAGUGGUGAAAUCCCGGGGCUCAACCCCGGAACUGCCAUUGAUACUACAGGUCUUGGAUACGGUUGAAGUAGGCGGAAUGUAGCAUGUAGCGGUGAAAUGCAUAGAUAUGCUACAGAACACCGAUCGCGAAGGCAGCUUACUAAGCCGAUAUUGACGCUCAGGCACGAAAGCGUGGGUAGCGAACAGGAUUAGAAACCCUAGUAGUCC